GCACUGGUGGUUCAGUGGUAGAAUUCUCGCCAGCCACGUGGGAGCCCCGGGUUCGAUUCCCGGCCAGUGCA
rnacentral:tRNA from 1 species